GCUUGGUGGCAUUAUCAGACUUGUAGCAAAGUUGUUCUAACAAGUCUGAUACAAUGAUGUAACAAGAAUGUUACAAGGUCGACGUCACAAGGUUGUAACAAUAUUGUUAUAUUAUGAUAAUCAUGACCGUAUCAGACUUGUUGGAACAACCUUGCAACAAGUCUGAUAAUAUCAACAAGG